CCUAGGGUUAAAUCCGUAUGCUGAUCUCAUUGGUUUGCAAAAUAAUUACCGCACACUUGAUGUUUUAUUCGAAUAAACCGUGUGUACGUUUAAACCGGCAAGGGAUUCGGAAUAUCAUUAUUGAAACUUCGUGGAAGUCAAGGGGUCGUUGGUGCACCCCAAUUGGAAAACCGUUCAGCCGUGUGCCUUCGUGCGAAUUGUUCUCAGAACGGACUUGUCUUGAAGCGUUGAAACAAAUAUUUGGACCCGCGCCGGGGACGACAUUUUCUUUUACACCAAUAUUGGGAGCGAAACGCACUAUUUUUUUUUUAUACAAACCGUAAAUCCAAGACACGGCUAUGGUCUCGAACAACACGGCCACGAGCAUUGAGUAUCCGGCAGCGUAGCGAUCGAGCAAGUUGAAGAAGUAGAAUCCACCUUGGGCACACGAAGCCAGACCGACGACGAAGUACAGCAAGAACAGCAAAGCGAUGAAUAUUUCCCUGUUGCGCCUGAUCAACGGGAAUUCGUCGCUCAUGGCCGUUAUAAUUGCUUCGGAUCCGCCAAACUAAAAUUGAUUAGUUGUGAAAGAAAAUAUAAAGUACACGUAUGCUUAGACCACCGUUGAGUGGUCAAUAUGAAAUUCCACACGAAAAUGAAAAUCUCAUUUGGACACGACAAUUCCAUUUCCUCGAUGGGUGCUCGUAAUGGACACUGCUUUAUAAGUCGUAAUGCCAAAGGAAUACAUAAGCAGGCACUGUACAUAUAUCCCCAUUCUCCCACACAAUACAAAAAAAAUAUAUAUAUAUAUAAAUAAUAAAUAUAUGUAUA